rnacentral:lncRNA from 1 species
UGAAAUUUUGACUUCUUUCACAUACAACAUAUGGUUCUGACCUUGCUCCUUCUGAUUUCCUUUAAUCGUCUAAAUGAGUGGAAAUCUGAAGGAGCAGGGUCGGAGCUAUAUGUUGUGUGUGAGGGAGGUUGGGGUUUCAAUUGUCUUGGAGUUUCAAUUGUUGCUGUUCUUGAAUGUGGACAACUGUUAUCUUACCAGGAGAGUGCCAACCAUGGUGAAGUAAUAUGGUGCACCUCUCAAGCAUUCCUGAAAGGAAUGGGUUUGGAGUUUCUAUAUUCUUUGUGUACUGAGUCAUGUCAUCCUGUCGUUGAG